GAUGAACGCUAGCUACAGGCUUAACACAUGCAAGUCGAGGGGCAGCAUAAUCGAAGCUUGCUUUGAUUGAUGGCGACCGGCGGACGGGUGAGUAACGCGUAGGCAACCUGCCCUUAGCAGGGGGAUAGCCAUUGGAAACGAUGAUUAAAACCCCAUAAUACGGAUUUAACACAUGUAAGAUCCGUCAAAGAUUUAUCGGCUAAGGAUGGGCCUGCGUCUGAUUAGAUAGUUGGUGAGGUAACGGCUCACCAAGUCAACGAUCAGUAGCCGACCUGAGAGGGUGAUCGGCCACAUUGGAACUGAGACACGGUCCAAACUCC
rnacentral:rRNA from 1 species